rnacentral:lncRNA from 1 species
UUUAAAUACAUGGAAUGGCUGUUGGUAUCCUCCCGGUCUUCCUCCAUGGCCGAAAAGGAAAAUAUGCUCCCAUGGAAACCAGGAUAACAGAUGACCAGAUGGCUUACAUUCUCAAGCUAGUCAUCAAGCCUAACUGAGCAUCCACUCUGUUGCUGAAAUGCUGCUGGGGAUACAAAGACAAAUGAAGUGCCGUCUCCGUUCUGAUGUGACAAAGAGACUAGAGGAAGAUGAACAUGUGAACACACACAGUCCAAUGAGAAGAGGUAGGAGGGAGUUAUGCAGAAGGUGCCUUGGAUACAAAGAAAAUAAGCCAAUACAAGUCAUUUCUUAUUUUUCACACACCUAAUAAUAAAUGGCAUCACCUUGACAAGUCACAAAUGUUGUAUUGGAAAUCCUUAGCAAUAUUUUUC